AUUGAACGCUAGCGGGAUGCUUUACACAUGCAAGUCGAACGAGUGGCGGACGGGUGAGUAAUAUAUCGGAACGUGCCCAGUAGCGGGGGAUAACUACUCGCAAGAGUGGCUAAUACAGCAUACUAUUGGAGCGGCCGAUAUCGGAUUAGCUAGUUGGUGGGGUAAAGGGUCAUCAAGGCAACGAACCGUAGCUGGUAUGAGAGGACGACCGGCCACACUGGGACUGAGACACGGCCCAGACUCCUACGGGAGGCAGCAGUAGGGAAUUUUGGGCAAUGGGGGAAAGCCUGAUCCAGCCAUCCCGCGUGUGUGAGAAGGCCUUCGGAUUGUAAAGUACUGUUGGCAGAGAAGCGGUAUCUGCAGAGAAAGCACCGGCUAACUACGUGCCAGCCGCCGCGGUAAUUC
rnacentral:rRNA from 1 species